UACGUAGGUGGCGAGCGUUGUCCGGAUUUACUGGGCGUAAAGGGCGUGCAGGCGGUUUGUUAAGUGCAGGGUGAAAGCCUCCCGGCUCAACUGGGAGAGGUCCUUGCAUACUGGCGAACUCGAGGGAGGCAGAGGAAAGUGGAAUUCCCGGCGUAGUGGUGAUAUGCGUAGAUGAUCGGGAGGAACACCUGUGGGCGAAGGCUGGCGUUUCUGGGCCUUACCUGACGCUGAGAACGCGGAAAGCGUGGGGAGCGAACCGG
rnacentral:rRNA from 1 species